UGCGUAGACGGUAUGUUAAGUUCGUUGUUAAAGGCUCCGGCCUAACCGGAGUACCGCAAUGAAAACUGGCGUGCUAGAGGGUGAGAGAGAGAAGUGGAAUUCCCGGAGUAGCGGUAAAAUGCGUGGAUCUCGGGAGGAACACCAAUGGCGAAGGCAGCUUCUUGGCUCAUUCCUGACGUUGAGGCACGAAAGCGUGGGGAGAAC
rnacentral:rRNA from 1 species